rnacentral:misc_RNA from 1 species
UACGUACUGGGCGAACGUUAUUCGGAAUCACGGGGCUUAAAGGGUGCGUAGGCGGCUUUCCAGGUCCGGUGUGAAAUCUCUCGGCUCAACCGAGAAAUUGCGCUGGAAACCGGAAGGCUUGAGUAGGCUAGGGGUGUGGGGAACUUCCAUGGGAGCGGUGAAAUGUGUUGAUAUUGGAAGGAACGCCGGUGGCGAAAGCGACACACUGGGGCCUAACUGACGCUGAGGCACGAAAGCUAGGGUAGCGAACGGG